rnacentral:rRNA from 15 species
GGGUGCGAUAAUGCCAGCACUAAAUCACCGGAUCCCAUCAGAACUCCGAAGUUAAGCGUGCUUGGGCUAGAGUAGAACUAUGAUGGGUGACCCCCUGGGAAGUCCUCGUGUUGCACUCC